CUCCUCGGACCCAAGACCAAGGCCUGGGUGGCAGGGACACGUGACCUGUCUGUUUGGAAGCUGUGGGGACUGUUCCUCAGGCCCAGACCGCCGACGGUUGUAGAGCCCACGAGCCCGGCCCGUCUCCGCGGUGAACGGCUCGCCGAAGAGGCCUCUGGGAAUUGUAGUUGGGGGGGAGCCGGGCCAGUGCGCGAGGUCCGAGUUGCGACCGUUACUCGCCCCCGCGGUCGGAGAGAGCUCAGGGGUCGCAGCCACACCGGCCCUUCCGACAGAGAAGGCUUUGCCUCGGCUUUCGGGAGCCCAGGCAGGAGGGCGGCCGCAAGGCGAGGUGUCGGCCCUGGCUCAGGGGAAGGUAGCUGUCAGACGUGGUGCGGAGGGUCGCGCAGUGGGUCGUAGCGAUGAGAGCGGCAUGAGAGCGUGGCCUCGGGGGAGCAGUUAGUCCAGUCUCUUCUGCUAGAGAAGGAGGGACCGAAGCCCAGAGAGAGUCCACGAUUUGCCCCAGAGCGAGGGUCAUGCCCUUGUCUGUGUGCUCACGCUUCCCUUUCGAGCACGGAGCGCCGUACCUGGCACAGAACUGGCGCCCAAACGUCUGUUAAGUGGCAUUUCGUUGUAAGAACGGGCAGCUGAAACUCUUUUAACAAAUUACAAGAUUAAAAAAUAUUUUUUUUUUUAAAAAGAGGGAAGUGGACCUAUAGAUGAGACUCAUCAGCCAAAUGCAACCUCUAAACUUUAUUCGGAUCAUGGGUCUAACAACCAAUUGUGCAAUUUUUAAAAAUCCGGGAAAUGUGAACAUUGAUGGGAGAUAUGAGUCACUGUUUAAAAAGUUCAGCUGUUAGGGUUAUGCUUUAAAAAGGAAAAGUGUCUUAGAGACACAUACUGCAGAUUUUACGAGUUAAAUGAUGUCUGAGAUUUGCUUGGAAGAUACCCAGUGUGGCCAGCGAGGGGAGACAAGAAGGGCAGAAAAUAAAGAGCUAUGAAAACUGGGUGAAGGAUACUAGAGAGGGUGUCGUACUGUUUUAUUCUCUGUAGUGGUAUUGAAAAGGACCAUAAUCAAGGGGUUUUAUUUAAUUCUAUUGUGUUUCAGAAAGUUUCUUAAAUAAGACGCUCAGGGAGAGUUUGUCUGAAACGAACCCUCCCACGGCACAAGUGAGCCUCCUUGGGGACUUCUCCAGUCAAGAAUGACCACAGCAGUGACUGGGGGCUGUGUCCCAGUGCCUCGGGAUCCUUCAGAAGCAGGACACAAUUCUGACCAUGAAGGUGGAAGCAGAGGACCACUCGUAGGGGAAAGACUAUGCUGCCAGAUAAUUACAGACGGUGGCCCGAGGAGUAAGGAUGAGGCGUUCAGCUCAUGUCGGGAACUUGCUGAAAGCAGAACCCACAGGUGACUUCAUAGGUACCAGAGCUGGGAGACACCUCGGAAUGUUCCAGUACCUUAGACCAGCAUUAGGGAACCUUCAGAUGGGAGGCCAAGCAGCUGCCCCGCCCAAAAAAAGAAUUUCAAGCAGGAGAGAGAAGCAGCAGCCAUGACAGUGACAAAAGUGACCCACACUGCAGGCCAGGUGAGUGCCUUGUUCCGAGUCAGAAAUGUUGUGCAGAGACCCCAUACGUGGAACAUGCGUGGCCACAGUUUCUGGGCAGACCCAGCCCUCAGUCGGCAUCAGCCCGCACGGGAGAGGACCCCGGAUCACUCCAAGUCGGCCACUCCUUCAGGAGGCCCCGUCCCCAAACACGGGCUUCGGUGUGGCCCUGCAGCCAGCGGGGUUAGUGCUCCCCCGGCGUGGAAGGGCACAGGGAGCUGGCCUGGGCAGCGGCUUGUCCCCCAGCCGCUCCACUGUCACCUCGGCCACCCAGUCUCCACUUCAGCCCCCUCUUGGGCCACUUUUCUCUGUCCUUCUGCCUUUUCAAAAAAGUGAUAAUACACUUACUCUCUUCUCAACAAAAGUAAUACAUGUCUGUAACAGAACUGUUUAUUUUUAUUUUUUUAAUCUUUAUUUAUUUUUGAGAGAGAGAGAGCAAGCGUAGGGGAGGGGCAGAGAGAGAGGGAGACACAGAAUCUGAAACAGGCUUCAGGCUCUGAGCUGUCAGCACAGAGCCCGACGCGGCGCUUGAGCCGUGAGAUCAUGACCUGAGCUGAAGUUGGACACUUAAUCGACAGCCACCCAGGCGCCCCUGUGACAGAAAAUGUUAAAUACAUCUGAACAAAAUGAAGAAAAGAAAAUUAGUCAUCUGUAACAUUGACUGUCCUUGCAGCAUCUGUUUCUAAGCCUCCAUACACAUUUUGUCCAGUAUUCAGAUUUCUCUAAAAAAAGGGCAAAAAACAGGCGGGGAACCUCCUGGGGGCCACAGCUACCUGCCUCCGGGACUUCACCUUACCUGCCUUUCAGGGUGGGAACCAAGACAGGACGAUGGCAAUACCUCUCUCGGCCACAGGAGGGGGGUGUUUGCUCACGCACGUCCUGUGCUUUCUGCUCGGGUCCAGAGCUGGCAGCUGCCGGCUCCCGUCGAAGGCACCGCAGUCAGUCCUCGAUUUAUGGCUCCUACUGCUCACUGCAUCUCUUGGAAACCUUCUUGGUCCACGAGGGGCAGAAGGACAGAAGUCACUGUUUCGCCACAUCUGCCUGAAUCCUCGGACAGCUCUCUCCUCGCUGUCGCAGCCUGGGGCUGCCCAGGAAAGGGGUGAACCACCAGCCUCCUGGGGUCAUCUCCACGCUUACCCCCCUUCACGGUUUCCCAUCGUCCUCGGUCCUCCGGCGCUGUUGGCUCGCACACACUACGCUGGCGGCCUUCGCGCCCCUCUGCCUCUGCUCCAUCGCACGGCACACCUUCCCGCGUGUUCCUCUCUGCACCCCAGGCUGAUGCUUCCUCUUUCGGGUUUGGCCGGCCCGUUGCUUCUUCCCAGAAGUCACUCUCGGCCCUGCGAGUCUGGGCUACGCGAUUCUCCUCUGUGCUUCCGCGUGCUUCCCUUCCAAAACCCAUAGCGUGCUGGAUCGUCCACCGCCCCCUAGAACGAACGGAAGCAACGUGAGCGCCGGGGCCAUGUCCGUCUUGCUCGCUGGCAUCCCCGGCGCCUGGGGCUCCGUGGGGCUCCGUCCGAGCUCGCUGGAUGGAUGAAGGAGUGAGCGAGUGUGCCUUUCCCUGUUCCCUGAAGUAGAGUCUGCAGACGCCAGUCCUCGUCCCUCCUUCCGUCCCCCUCCCCCCAGGUCACCAGGUACCGCUCCGGUCCCCUGUGUCUGUGGAAACGCACCCCGAGGAAGAUGCAGUGCUGAAGGGCAGCUGACUGCCUGUGGCGGCGGGGAGACAGAGGCGCGAGGAGCGGGACACCCCUGGUGUCAGACCCCGGCUCUGCCACUUCCCGGCUGUGCCCGUGCCUCAUUUUCCUUAUUUACAAGGUGGUGCUGACGGUACCGGGCUUGCAGGGGUGCUCCGAGAAGUCGAAUGCUAGCCUGGCCGGCGGCCGGCAGUCACGAAGUCAGACCUGUGCCUCCGUCUCCCCUGCGCACUCUCCCGAGGCACCCCCCCCGCCCCCCCACUAUCUCCGAAGCACUACCCUUUUCCCGAUUCCCUUCUCCUUUCCCCACGGUCACCCACACCGCUUGUCACUGACACCUCCCCGUCCCGUGUCCUUUAUCCCCAGCACGGGUAAUAGCACCAGGCACAGCACAGACGGGAUGCAGAAAGGGUGCCCGUGGCGUGGCUGGAUGGAUGGAGGGACGAGUGAACCAGUCACAGCAGCGCCUCUGGGAUGCAUUCACCGGUGGUGGUACGUGUGAUGAUAGUCACCAGUGGACAAGUGGCCUCCUGCCUGCCGGAUGACACCAGGGACAGGUGGGGCUUAUGUGAAGGCAGGCUGCCAACCACACCCUCAUGAGGCCACGGCAAGAACAGAAAAGGUGACACCACCCUUGACUGAAUGGCCAGGAAGGAGGAGGGGCGAUGAGGAAACAUCGCAGCCAUGUGGAAAGGCCCAGAAACACGGAGCCCCAGAGCCCUGGUUCUUCUCUUCUGCUCAGCGUUGUGGACCCCAAGGACAACACAUGCGCGACUAACCCUGAGCAAACAGUCCUACAGGUGUCUGCAUUCCUUACAGAUAGAUGGUCUGUGGUCCCACCACUGGGGCUAAAAGUUCAAGUUCCAGCCAAAUCCUUCUCUAGGUUUCUUUCUUUCUUUCUUUCUUUCUUUCUUUCUUUCUUUCUUUUUAAUGUUUAUUUAUUUAUUUUGGAGAAAGCACAAGCAGGGAAGAGGCAGAGAGAGAGGGAGGGAGACACAGAAUCUGACGCAGGCUCCAGGCUCUGAGCUGCCAGCACAGAGCCCGACUCGGGGCUCGAACUCAACGGACCUCGAGAUCAUGACAUGAGCCGAAGUUGGAUGCUUAACCGACUCAACCCCCCCAGGCGCCCCUCUAGAUUCCUUUCAUGGUGCUUUUCUCUGAUAUGAACAUUUUCCAUGCGGCAGCCCCCUGCGGGCCCCCGUGAGCUCCCUCAUUCCGAGGAGCGCCAGCCAGGAUCUUAGGGGGAUGAGGAAAGGCUGACUUCUCCUCAGAUGAUCAUGGCCCUCGAUUCACCACAUUUGAAAGAUUUAGCUCCUGAAGGGCUCAUCUGCUGUAGGGCGAGGUCUGUGCUUUCUCAGAGCAUCGCUCCUCUGCUCGCAGAGGCCAGUUUCUCCCGCGUGACACCCGGGAGGUUGGGCUGACGUGGCUUGGGCUCAAUGUGUCCCGCGCGCCGCUCCCCUGUGACUUUCUCGUCUCUGAGAGCUGCUCGCCUCCUCCUGAGGGUUUUCCUCCGUGGCUGCCAUUCACAGAGACUCUCUGUGGGAUGGAUUAGGAAAUGAAUGGAAAUUUUCUCUUAUUCAUAAUAAUAGUCAGAGAUUUCCUCUGUACGAAUUCUUUGACAUCCUGCCGGAAUCCUGCCCAGAUGCGCGGCCACGCGUAUCCUCCCAGCGGAGCGAGGUUUGGGCUUCGUGGUUUCCCAAAGCAAUGCCUUUAUCAGCGUAAAGCCUCUCGGGAGCGGCAGCACCCCCUUCGAGGGUGGCCCCGUGGUUCUGCUGUGGCAGGAAGGCUGAGUGUUGGAGUCGACAGGAUGUCCUCAGUCCUGGCCUCAUACCGUGAUGACACCAUAGGAAAUGAAACUGUCACAAGUCCCCAUUUCCAUGGGGCGGGCACCCGGGUGGCUCAGUCGGUUAAGCGUCUGACUCUUGGUUUCAGCUCAGGUCAUGAGCUCACGGUUGUGUGAGAGCCCCGUGUUGAGUCCGUGCUGACAGCAGGGAGCUGCUUGGGCUUCUCUCCCCCUCGCUCUCUGCCCCUCCCCCGCUUGUGCUCGCACUCUCUCUCUCUCUCUCUCAAAAUAAAUAAACUUAAAAAAACCCAACAAAACAAACACCAAAGUCCCCAUUUCCAAGAAACAAAGCUCUGUGACUGCACCAACCUCCCGGCCUCUGGCUGUCUCCUCUGGUGAUGGCUGAGCGAGAGAAGGCGCUGCGGCUUGAAGCCUUUCUUUCGCGAGGGGGUGAUGGGCCAGCUGCAUUCUGAGCGCCCGUGGUCACGGCCCAUGUCACGGGUCCCCCCGGAGUGCAGGCCUCCCCAGUGCUCUGAAUUUGCCCACCCUCCUGUCCUGGCCCAAAGCCCGCCUCUUCCCUGAAGCCCUCCUGGGACUCUGCAGGACUGCAGUUAGACUCCCCGCUCCGUGCUUCCAUAAGAAUUCACGGCCCACAAAACGCCCUAGCCAGCACUCACGCAGUGUUCUAGGCCUUCAUGACCUUUCUAGGCCUUCUCCUUCUCAAACAGACUUAAAGGAAGCUCUGUGAGGAAGAACCACGUCUCGUCCUUGGUAUUCUCCGUGGCUCCUCUGAGCACCGCGGGACUUGGGGUGGAGACUGGCUGUGGCUGUGGACGCUACGGUCCAAGAGGACGGGCUCGCCGCUCAGCGAGGUCGUGGGUGGAGGCACACCUGUGACUGAAGACGUGGCCUGCCUUCCCUGGGACGGUGGCCGGCUCAUGCAGGAGGAAGGUGACCUCAUCCUUGCCGCCACCCCUUCCCCCCGCCCCCCCAACCGCAGGCAGCCUUGCCACAUUCGCCCCGAUACCCGGAAGCUGGCCGUUGCUUCAUCCCCGUUGCCUCUGCCGCUGCCUGGGAGUGCCGUUGGGAGGGGGAGGCAGGGAACAAGCAAGAAACGGGUAUGGUCGUGAAGCCGUCCGCGCAGUGUCCUGGUUAAGUACGGCAGGCGUAGGGACCAACUCUCAAAUAUGAACUUGUAGCUCUUUGAGGGCAAGGCCUAUGUCUGAAGCAGCUCUGUGUUCACAGUGCCUGGCUUAGCACCUGGCACGUAGUAAGGAUUCACCCGGCGUGGAGCGGGCAGGUGCUCCCGUAGUUACCGGCAGCCAGGGAGUUCGUGAAGGUAACAGAACGGAUGUUAGUGACCGUCCUGAAGUACCCCCUCCUCCAAGCCCCCCUACCCCCAAUGAGUGCCUCCUCCCCUUGGCAUAUGGCAAAGGCCUGGGUCCCAAGCACAGGACGCACACCGCGCCCCUUUUCUUUCGUUAGCUGCAGAGUCCCUGCCUCCCCCGUGGACAAGGGACAAACCCUGUGUGCACAUGCAGGGUUUCGUACAGCCGGAGCUCUCUUCUGCUUUCGUUUAAAGCUAGUAAGUUAGAAAUGUUGUUGGCCAGAUCGUAAGAGCUAGUCCCAGAUGCUGGCCGUGCUCAUGGAACCCGCAUCUCCUGGGAGCCCGGGCUGCUGCUAAACUGCUGGACCCCGAAGCCAGUGGAGAUGUGAGCACGCCACUGAGGGCUAAGGAGAGAAAGAAAAAGAAAGGGAGGGCCCUUGCCGGCCACCCCUCUAUCUGUUGCCAGGGGCCUUUGCGCUCACGCGAUUGUCCCGGGGCGGGAGCGCAGCCGCCGCCAGGGGUCUCCAGGCUUGGAAGCUUGGAGCUGGAAUGUCAUUUCCAGAUUUCCAGUGGGUCUCUGGAGUACUCUCUGAAAUUACUCCCCUGAUGACCAUCCCAGCGCUCGACCAGAUAGAAAUUCAUACAGGCAGGUAGAAGGGAUGGAAAUAGCUAAUCAAGUGAAGGCAUUGGGGGUGCAGGGCGCUGGAGGGGCAGGUGACUCUAAGCUCGCCGCUCCCGGGGAACUGGCGAAGCUGCUCCAGAGGCUUCUAGAAAACGCUCGAGAAACCAGGUCUAGAAAGAAAGCCAUAAAGGGCUUCAUGAUACGUAAAGGCCCCCCGUUUCCCUGCUGCCCCCCACCCCGUGGAGGACACCAGUGGAGCCCCGCUUCCAGAAAGGCCAAGCCAGGCUCUUGGUCGCUUGCUCAGCAGCCGGUUCUCCUCACUGGGCCUCGGAGACACUGGGCACGAGCGUGAGGCUCUCAGGGUAACAGCGGCCACCCUGCAUCCAGUGCCCACACUGCCAAGGGCUUCAGGCACAAUGUCUCUCGUGACCCCCCAACAGCCCUGGGAAAUAGGAUGUUCCUGUCCUGGUGCUAGAAUGAAGAAAGGAACUUAGAGAGGUUAAAUAAUUCACCCAACAGCACGCAGCUGCUAAGUGGAGGGGCAGAGGCUCAAAUCUGGGUCUGCCCCUCUGUGCCUGAAGGUUCUAUGUGGCCUGUUGUGGGAUUGUUCCUUGCGUCACUGGAAUCGCCAGCACGCUUUCUGCCCCUGUUGUGUGGCCGCAUCGAAGUGGCCCUCCGUCCACAAUCCCUUCUGCAGCCUGUCAGAGCCAGAAAAUGGCCUCUAAGAGACCAAGUCUAGUAGGUACUGAACCUCCCAAUGCCGGUGACAGCCACGUUCGCAAGAGACCUCCCACUUCCUGCCGGCAGUCACUGGAAUUUCUGCUUUGGGGAUUUGGGGAGACACUCAAGUCACACAGACACAAGAAUCUAUGAUUCUGCUCUCGAUGCGGCGAGUCAGGGAAGCAGGCCGAGCCUCUAGAGCAGGAACGAGUUAGGUCUGCGCAGCCGUGUCUGGGCCUCAGCUGGAGCGGCCCAGGUGGCUGCAUUUGGCUAAGGUGGCCGGACUGUGGCCCGAGUUCAGGGGCCUUGGUUCUGUCUGCCAGCUGGAUUCCUCCUCUUCGUGUGGCAUCCGCCGGAGUGGGGCCAAAAUGUCCAAAAUGGCCUCUUCACUCGUGUGUCUGGGGCUUCCGUGUUCUCCCUUGUGGCCUCUCUCUUCACAGAGUGACCGAAUCUUCGCACAGCGUUGCUCCGGGCUCCGCAAACCCACGAUCCACGCUCUUCGGUGCCACCGAACCGGCCUUGCCCCGCGUCCCUUCUGCAGGGGCGCUGCCGCCCGGGGGCUGUGUUGUAUCACAUGACCCUGCCUCCUCGCCCCUCCCCCCGACAGGUCAUCGGACCAGGACCCAGUAGAGGCUGGCCAAUGACAUUCGAAGUCCCCUGGCUGGCUCAAAAAUUCAAGGAAUGCCAGUUAGACCAAUCAGAUUCCCCUUUGGGGACAUUGGCACCAAAAAAUCAGACAGUAUCAUCACAGUGCGUGACAGGUUGUCGGGAGGGCCAGUAGGGCCUGGAUGGACCCAUGUGCUGGCCAGGAUUAAACUGAAGAAGAAACUUGGGACAUAGAAGAGAAACAGGCUGUGACACGAGAGAACGUACUGAGCGUGGAGGGAACCACGAGCGUGUUACUGGUGAGGGGAGAAAGGAGGGACUCACCAGAGCAGAGCCAAGACCUGUGAGAGGCCGAGGAGGAAGUCAGCCCCAGGGCACCCCAGUGCCUUCUGGUCCCCAGGCCCAGCCUGGCCAUGUGUGUUAUGGCAGCAAGCCCGUUACUUACUCCCUUGGCUGUCAGGUGGCUUUGAGGUGGACAUGUGACUUAGUUCUGCGAAUAAAAAUUUAUGAGGAAAUGGUUUGAGGACCUUCUGGGAAGAAAUUUGCUUUUUGAUUAAAGGGAGGAUGGUGAAGAGGCCUGUCCCUCCUUCCUGCCUUGAACGUGGAUGUCGGAGGACAUGAUACUUAGGACUGUAGCUGCCAUCUUGAGACCCCGAGGCAACCAGACCAAAGGAAAAAGCCAACAUACCAAGGUUGGCCUAGCAGACAGACAAAAAGAGCCUGGGUCCUUGAUGAUAUCGUUGAGCCACUAUACCUAUCCUGGAACCACCGACUUCCAGUCUUAUUGAUAUAUUAAUUAAGUGUCCUUAUUUUCUAAGCAGAUUUCUGCUAUUUGGAACUAAGGCAUUCUUAACCAGUAUAGCAGUCUUCUGAACCCGCCCGUCACCAACUCCUUUGAGCACCAUGGUUCUUGGUUUAGAUCCAAAUGGAAACCCACCCCAAACUUAGCCAGUGGAAAACGUACUUACGUGGUAGGAAAUACAGGUCAAGAUUUCUCACAGCCUACAGAGCAAUUCUAGCGCUUAGUCCCAAAUCCCAGGGCCUGUUGGACACAAAUGAGGAAAGAUAGACUCAGGAAAGAUCUAGAUACAUGGCGAUGAGUCUUCUUCUAAAAUGAGGCUCAGUGAUGAAUUUGGGGAUGAACAAGUUCAGUGGAGGGAGAGAGGGAGAGCCUAAGCAUGGGCCAGAAAGCCAUGGAAAGCACUUGGAGGGAGCAGCGAGCUUGAACGGGCAAAUGGCAGUGGGUCAGAUCACUUCUUCAGGAGGCCAGGGUGCACAGCAGGAUUUUCUAAGUGCCAAGUACUAGCUGGGAGGGGCUUAUGGCAACUGGAACUAAACUGGGGGGAAACUAGGCAUUUUAGCGAACCCUCCUGCCAGCCCUACUGGCAUUUUAGAUCCUCUGAGGAACAAAGUGGCCUGAAUUGUGGCCCUUCCCCGUGUGCGGGUGCUGCCCCCCUGCCCCCCCACGCUCUUCACUCUGUCUCUUCACCUGUCCCUUUUUCUCCACCAUUUCUUCCUGUCUUCUCGGCAAAGCUAGGAGCCAGAAAUGCACAAGGUCUGAAUCUCUUCUGCUCAGUUGCAGAGUAAAGAUAGUGAGAGGCAAGGAUGUCUUUAGGAAACAUUGGAGCUUCAUCUGGGGAUCAUGUGAGUUAGCUUGAGAGGAGGGAAGCAGUGGGCUGCUAAGAACUAGAUGAAACUUUCUUCUGCCCCAACUCUGAUCGAGCCGUGGGGCUGGGGCCGGGGGGUGCUUCUUCAACACACCGCAAGAAAAUGUAUGGUCCUUCCUUCCCUUAUGAAAGGGAAGCUGAAUUCAAGAAGAAGUUGAACUCAAGAACUCUAGGCCUUCCUCUUUCGAUUUCCAGUUUCAGAUACACAAGAAAGAUAAGGGGGCGUCCUCCUCAGAUGUUCAGAACUUGAAGAAGUCAUCCGUUUGGCAUCUCCAGAUCAUCAGUAGUAGAGGUGUGGCCCAUGGAAGGUCAUCGAAUGAAUGGGGCCCAAACACGGAUGUGUCGCGAUGACAUUCGAAUUUGUGACCGGCAGAUUGUGCCACUAAGCCUGUGUACCGCAGGGAUCCUCCCCACUGGGGGCCAAAACCAGGCCAACCCUGGUGUUUGUCUGCUGUGUUACUUCAUUUAGCAGAAGUGUACUGAAUGCCUAGUAGAAUUAUAAGCCAAGCAUAUAAAAGCAAUGGUACUAUUAGGAAAAUACGUUACUAAAGACAAAAACAAUUCCUGACAUAAUCAGAGAAAAGAACGAAAGCUCAGGGGUGGAUGAAACAAAAAGUUUAACCCCCUCCUUUGAUGUGAUUGAUGCUUCAAUGUGAUAUACUUAGUAAAUGCUGACUUCCCCGCCCCACCCCCAGUUGCCCCAUACAUUGCAAGGGUUUCUCUGAAAUCCAGUAAGGAAAAGAACUGAAGGCUUUUCUUCCCUCUUGGUAAUCAAGGUUUUUUCUCCAGUAUGAAUUAGCCUGAUUACGGAUUAAACACCCUCCCACGGUCUGUACAGCACAAGAGUGUCUUUCCCGUGAAUUCUCCAGUGACAAGAAAAGGCUGCAUGAUCCCUAAAUGACUUUCCACAUUGAUUAUACUCACAGGCUUUUCUCCCAAGGAUGAAUGAUCUCGUGUUCAAUAUGCUCCGCGCUUCCCCUAGAUAGUUCUCCGUAUUCAUCACACGUGACCAACUCAUGUCCCCACUAAGCUAGCUGACGUCGUCUAAGGAUGAGCUCGGGUUGAAGGCUCUCCCUCACCCAUUAUGCUCGCAGAGCACCUCCCUGCUCUGAGAUCCCAGAUGUCUAAUUAGCUCUGAGCUUCUCAAAGCAUUUUCACAGCCAUUACGCACAUGUGGUUUUUCUCCAGUGUGAAUUCUCUGACGUUGAAUGAGCUCUGCUUCCCUGAAAGCCCUCACAUUUAUUGCGUCUGUAGAGUUCCUGUUGUUUGUGAACGAGCUCAUUCCGUGCGGUACUAGAAUACUGGCAGACGCCUCCCCAGAUCAGGAUUCUCUGCAAGAGAAAUGUUCCGGCAUUCAGUAGGAUGGGAGCCCCCCCGCCCCGCCCCCCGUCGUGAAAGUUGUCUGUAUUCAUAAUGAGGUGUUCUCUCCAAUACGGAUACUGGAAUACUGAAUAAAUUCUGACCUCUGAU